UUUCAUAUGUAAACAAUGGCUGAAAAGAGAAACUUGUGAAAUGACUAUGAGUUUUGGCUGAUUUUAAUUUAUAUGAUUAGCUAGCUUUAAUAGCACGUAGUCAGACUUUUGGGUACUUGUCGUGGAAACUUUAACAUGCUAACUUGAUAAAUUAUUCGAUAACAGUACAAUUCAAAUCGUGUCUCUUAUUUCUUUUAACCUCAUCAUAGCAAUUUACUGAUUUUA